GUUUUUGGUAGCCACAUGAAUUGCUCUAUAGUAAAACCAAGUUUUUGGUAGCUACAUGCAUUGCUCUAUAGUAAAACCAAGUUUUUGGUAGCUACAUGCAUUGCUCCAUAGCAAAACCUUGUUUGGCUUGACUACCUAUGAAGGGGUCUCGAGGUUCGACACCCGAGUCAAGAUAAGUUGUGUUAACUGAGCGCAUAAAAGCAGCACGGAAAACCUUCUCCCAUAUAGCCCUGCCCCCCCCCCCCCCCCACUGGUCCACAAAUGAGAUUGGACCAUAUCGCUCUGAGCAUUAUAUAAGCAUAGAAGUAGUGCUAUAUAAAAGCUAUUAUUAUUAUUAUUAUUAUUUAAAUAACUUUUAAAAAAUCUUAAUAAUAAAAAAAAUUGUUGACCUUUUCAAAAAUGUUUCUUUUGUUGACUGAACAAUGAAAGACAAAACGUAAAAGUAUUUAUGAUUUUUUUUCUAUUCGUGAAGUUUUUAGUAGUGAAGUUUUGCUCUUACUCAUAAUAAAUGUAAUUAGAUUUCCUUUCUCUUACAACACACACAAUUGACAUUUCAUUUAUUGACUGACAACAUUUCAUUUAUUGACUGACAAC